rnacentral:tRNA from 1 species
UAAAAAAUAAGCUAAUUCAAGCUAAUGAGUUCAUACCUCAUUUAUAUAAGUUUAAAUCUUUUUUUUUUAA